rnacentral:rRNA from 1 species
ACGUCUACGAGUUUGAUCCUGGCUCAGAUUGAACGCUGGCGGCAUGCUUUACACAUGCAAGUCGAACGGUAACGGGGACCUCGGUCUGCCGACGAGUGGCGAACGGGUGAGUAAUAUAUCGGAACGUGCCCAGUAAGUGGGGGAUAGCUCGGCGAAAGCCGGAUUAAUACCGCAUACGCCCUGAGGGGAAAGUGGGGGAUCUUCGGACCUCACGUUAUUGGAGCGGCCGAUAUCAGAUUAGCUAGUUGGUGGGGUAAAGGCCUACCAAGGCGACGAUCUGUAGCUGGUCUGAGAGGAUGAUCAGCCACACUGGGACUGAGACACGGCCCAGACUCCUACGGGAGGCAGCAGUGGGGAAUUUUGGACAAUGGGCGAAAGCCUGAUCCAGCCAUGCCGCGUGAGUGAAGAAGGCCUUCGGGUUGUAAAGCUCUUUCAGGUGGAAAGAAAGCGGAUGGGUUAAUACCCUGUCCGGAUGACGGUACCACCAGAAGAAGCACCGGCUAACUACGUG